ACUUAACAGCGACGAGCAGAGCAGAGCAGAGCUAACCCGCCGCGCUCGCCCAGGGCCCCGCAGGCAGCAGGGACGCAGGCAAGCCCCGGCCAGGCCGGCCCCGCUCCUCCCUGCGCGCCCCGCCAUGCGGAGCCCCUCGGGCCUUCCGCCGGGUGCUGGUGUCGGGGCUACCGCAGGGACACGCAGCCGGCGGACCGCGGGGGGCAGGCGCGGGCGGCCCGUCCCGCCUGAGGCGCGUUGAAGCGAGGCGCGGAAACGGGGACGAGGGAGGCAGCAAACCCUCCGCGCCGCCCUCCACAUACCAUGCCUCCUCCUCCCGCCGCCGCCGCGCUCCCGGCCCGCCCACCGCGCAGGCGCGCCCUGCGGCGGACCGCGGCGGGCGGGACGGAGGUGACGGCUGCGCUUGCGCGGCGGGAGGCGCUCCCCGCAGCCGCGGGGCAGGGGUCCGAGGUUCGGUGGUCGCUGCUGUUGCUCGGCGAUCUCCGUGUGAGGCGGUGGGAGGGGAGCGCUCCCGGCCAGCCACCGGGACACCGUCUUCUCGCCCAGUUCCGCUGUCAGCCCCUUCCGCCACCCCCAGCCGUGCUAGCCCCGGAUUAAUUCAGACCCGCUGGCCUCCCUCCAGGAGCUCAGCAAUGACAGUUACAUCUGCAUGUUUCUAAUCGGUUUCGCAGGCUUCACCGCCCUUCUCUCCCUACAGGUUUGGUCCCAAGAAACACAGCUUCAUCCAAAACCCAUUGAUCAGUCAAGCAGUUCGGGCAACACUCUACUCUCCAAAGAAAACAGGUCCAUAUCUUUCCUGUAUUGAGGACUCCAGAGCUGGACGCAGAACUGCAGGGGUGGUCGUCCCAAAGCAGAGUAGAGGUCACAGGAGAAAAAUGUUCCCCACGUAGCAGUGGAUUAUUGGAACUGGAGUGUGCAUUUGACCGACUGGUGCUGUGAAAAUGGCUUCCGAUGCCAGCUAGGGGUUCAAGCAGAGGUUCAAGUGUGUUGGCCUCUUCCCAAGCCAAGGCUGAAGUGUCCAGUUCACAGGAUUCCCAAACCCUGUGCAGCUGUGCAUAGCAAGGAGCGGGAGCAGGAGGCAUUUGCACUUACACAGCCCUUGCACGAACAACCAUAUAUCUGGCACUUGGUGAGAUACGCUGCUGAUAUACUCGGUUACUGCGCAGUUCUUCUUCAGGUCUCUCCUCCCAAACGAAAGGCUUUUUAACAUUUUAUUGCUCUCUAGUGUUCCUAAUACAAUUGUGUCUGCUAAGGAGUGGGCCAAAGAAAAGGCAGGGCUAACUUCUUGUCCUGAAAUGGCCUCUCCUGCUGCUGUUACCAGAGGUGGGCUAGUCAGCUUUGUGGGCCCUGGGUCUCGCCAACCAGGCUGUCACUUCAGUUUUCACUUUCUGUUGCCAGUUCUCUUUCAUAGCUGCCAAAUCCACCUCCUCUGUUCCUCACUCAGUAUUGUUUCUCAAACACAGCAUCUAUCAUUUGUUCUCAUUUUCUGAAUGCUGGACUGUUCACUUGUUCAUCCUUCCUAAUAGCAUAGCUACCUAUUUAUAUUCAGAAGUGCCUGCCACAGAAAUGGAAAAAAGAGUAUUUAUCCAGCUUGAUGUCAAGCACUGGAGAAAAGCCCCCUACUUUAUUGUCUUCAUCAACAUAAGAUCACGUCCUCUAACUUAACAUUUUUUAGUAUACCUCUUUCUCGCAUUUGUGAGAAAUCUAGCAAGUGAAGACCCUCAGCAUGGUAAGACCAGCACAAUCCUUCCUAAAAUGCAUUUCUUAUACAGCUUGUACUGCAAAUUGAGAAUAAGGUUGAUUCCUAACACUUCAUCUUCUGUUGUCAUGAGUCCUGUUUUCCAGACUUACUACCAACAUUAUAAAUGUACUGAGUGCUUCAGAAUGCAAGACAAGAACAGCAUGUCAGCUGUUUUCAUCAGGGUACGCAAAUGAGAUUUGUAGAAGCCCAGUGGAAGAACAUCGCAUCAACUAAUGGAGACUUCAGGAGUCAGUCUGCUGAGUUUGUUUCUUUAUCAGUUUGGACUGACAAAGAACAUUCUUGUUGUCUGAAAAUUAUACAUGUCACCUGCCAGAUUGGAAGAAAAUCAGAAGCUGUUCUGGUAGAAUGAUGAAGUGAGCAGCGAGGAACUGACCAUUCAAUUGACAGUGGACUAUUAAUGUAAAUAUUUUUCUUUGCACUGCAGAAAGGACCUGCCAUUUAAAAUGGACAGGUUACCACAUGCUAAAAUAUUUUCCCUAUACUAGACUGCACAAAAUUCUGUUAACUAGCAUAAGUUAAUAUAUGACACUCUUGGUUUUAUUCAUCCUUAUUUGGGCAAGGCCACAGGCUUUUUUUCAUUCCCUUGAAUGAUAUAGUCCAGAAAUUUACCAGAUCUUCAAAAUUAAAAUCAGCUGUUAAAUUA
ensembl:lncRNA uncharacterized LOC115600876